UAAUACAGAGGGUGCGAGCGUUGUCCGGAAUCACUGGGCGUAAAGGGCGCGUAGGCGGCUGGGUAAGCGUGUGGUGAAAGCCCGGGGCUCAACCCCGGGUCGGCCAUGCGAACUGUCCAGCUGGAGCACGGUAGAGGCACAUGGAAUUCCGGGUGUAGCGGUGGAAUGCGUAGAGAUCCGGAAGAACACCGGUGGCGAAGGCGGUGUGCUGGGCCGUGGCUGACGCUGAGGCGCGACAGCGUGGGGAGCAAACAGGAUUAGAUACCCUGGUAGUCCACGCCGUAAACGAUGGGCACUAGGUCCUUGGGGGAGCGACCCCGUGAGGGCCGGCGCUAACGCAUUAAGUGCCCCGCCUGGGGAGUACGGCCGCAAGGCUGAAACUUAAAUGAAUUGACGG
rnacentral:rRNA from 1 species